GGUUAAGCGACCAAGCGUACACGGUGGAUGCCCUGGCAGUCAGAGGCGAUGAAGGACGUGCUAAUCUGCGAAAAGCGCCGGCGAGGUGAUAUGAACCCUUGACCCGGCGAUGUCCGAAUGGGGAAACCCAGUGUGACUCGUCACACUAUCAUUAACUGAAUCCAUAGGUUAAUGAGGCGAACCGGGGGAACUGAAACAUCUAAGUACCCCGAGGAAAAGAAAUCAACCGAGAUUCCCCCAGUAGCGGCGAGCGAACGGGGAGGAGCCCAGAGCCUGAAUCAGCAGGUGUGUUAGUGGAAGUGUCUGGAAAGGCACGCGAUACAGGGUGAGAGCCCCGUACACGAAAAUGCACCUGCUGUGAGCUCGAUGAGUAGGGCGGGACACGUGGUAUCCUGUCUGAAUAUGGGGGGACCAUCCUCCAAGGCUAAAUACUCCUGACUGACCGAUAGUGAACCAGUACCGUGAGGGAAAGGCGAAAAGAACCCCGGCGAGGGGAGUGAAAAAGAACCUGAAACCGUGUACGUACAAGCAGUGGGAGCACAGGUUUACCUGUGUGACUGCGUACCUUUUGUAUAAUGGGUCAGCGACUUAUAUUCUGUAGCAAGGUUAACCGAAUAGGGGAGCCGGAGGGAAACCGAGUCUUAAUUGGGCGUUAAGUUGCAGGGUAUAGACCCGAAACCCGGUGAUCUAGCCAUGGGCAGGUUGAAGGUUGGGUAACACUAACUGGAGGACCGAACCGACUAAUGUUGAAAAAUUAGCGGAUGACCUGUGGCUGGGGGUGAAAGGCCAAUCAAACCGGGAGAUAGCUGGUUCUCCCCGAAAGCUAUUUAGGUAGCGCCUCGUGAACUCAUCUCCGGGGGUAGAGCACUGUUUCGGCUAGGGGGCCAUCCCGGCUUACCAACCCGAUGCAAACUGCGAAUACCGGAGAAUGUUAUUACGGGAGACACACGGCGGGUGCUAACGUCCGUCGUGAAGAGGGAAAUAACCCAGACCGCCAGCUAAGGUCCCAAAGUCAUGGUUAAGUGGGAAACGAUGUGGGAAGGCCCAGACAGCCAGGAUGUUGGCUUAGAAGCAGCCAUCAUUUAAAGAAAGCGUAAUAGCUCACUGGUCGAGUCGGCCUGCGCGGAAGAUGUAACGGGGCUAAACCAUGCACCGAAGCUGCGGCAGCGGCACGCAAGUGUUGUUGGGUAGGGGAGCGUUCUGUAAGCCGUUGAAGGUGGCCUGUGAGGGUUGCUGGAGGUAUCAGAAGUGCGAAUGCUGACAUAAGUAACGAUAAAGCGGGUGAAAAGCCCGCUCGCCGGAAGACCAAGGGUUCCUGUCCAACGUUAAUCGGGGCAGGGUGAGUCGACCCCUAAGGCGAGGCCGAAAGGCGUAGUCGAUGGGAAACGGGUUAAUAUUCCCGUACUUGGUGUUACUGCGAAGGGGGGACGGAGAAGGCUAUGUUGGCCGGGCGACGGUUGUCCCGGUUUAAGCGUGUAGGUGUGUGUUCCAGGUAAAUCCGGUUCACUUUAACACUGAGGCGUGAUGACGAGGCACCACGGUGCUGAAGCAACAAAUGCCCUGCUUCCAGGAAAAGCCUCUAAGCGUCAGGUAACAUCAAAUCGUACCCCAAACCGACACAGGUGGUCAGGUAGAGAAUACCAAGGCGCUUGAGAGAACUCGGGUGAAGGAACUAGGCAAAAUGGUGCCGUAACUUCGGGAGAAGGCACGCUGACAUGUAGGUGAAGCGGUUUACCCGUGGAGCUGAAGUCAGUCGAAGAUACCAGCUGGCUGCAACUGUUUAUUAAAAACACAGCACUGUGCAAACACGAAAGUGGACGUAUACGGUGUGACGCCUGCCCGGUGCCGGAAGGUUAAUUGAUGGGGUCAGCGCAAGCGAAGCUCCUGAUCGAAGCCCCGGUAAACGGCGGCCGUAACUAUAACGGUCCUAAGGUAGCGAAAUUCCUUGUCGGGUAAGUUCCGACCUGCACGAAUGGCGUAAUGAUGGCCAGGCUGUCUCCACCCGAGACUCAGUGAAAUUGAACUCGCUGUGAAGAUGCAGUGUACCCGCGGCAAGACGGAAAGACCCCGUGAACCUUUACUAUAGCUUGACACUGAACACUGGUCCUUGAUGUGCAGGAUAGGUGGGAGGCUUUGAAGCGUGGACGCCAGUCUGCGUGGAGCCGUCCUUGAAAUACCACCCUUUAAUGGCUGGUGUUCUAACGUGGGCCCCUGACCGGGGUUGCGGACAGUGUCUGGUGGGUAGUUUGACUGGGGCGGUCUCCUCCCAAAGAGUAACGGAGGAGCACGAAGGUUGGCUAAUCCUGGUCGGACAUCAGGAGGUUAGUGCAAUGGCAUAAGCCAGCUUGACUGCGAGCGUGACGGCGCGAGCAGGUGCGAAAGCAGGUCAUAGUGAUCCGGUGGUUCUGAAUGGAAGGGCCAUCGCUCAACGGAUAAAAGGUACUCCGGGGAUAACAGGCUGAUACCGCCCAAGAGUUCAUAUCGACGGCGGUGUUUGGCACCUCGAUGUCGGCUCAUCACAUCCUGGGGCUGAAGUAGGUCCCAAGGGUAUGGCUGUUCGCCAUUUAAAGUGGUACGCGAGCUGGGUUUAGAACGUCGUGAGACAGUUCGGUCCCUAUCUGCCGUGGGCGCUGGAAGAUUGAGGGGGGCUGCUCCUAGUACGAGAGGACCGGAGUGGACGCAUCACUGGUGUUCGGGUUGUCAUGCCAAUGGCACUGCCCGGUAGCUAAAUGCGGAAGAGAUAAGUGCUGAAAGCAUCUAAGCACGAAACUUGCCCCGAGAUGAAUCUUCCCUGAGACUUUAAGUCUCCUGAAGGAACGUUGAAGACGACGACGUUGAUAGGCCGGGUGUGUAAGCGCAGCGAUGCGUUGAGCUAACCGGUACUAAUGAACCGUGAGGCUUAACCUU
rnacentral:rRNA from 1 species